AUUGAACGCUAGCGGGAUGCCUUACACAUGCAAGUCGAACGGAGUGGCGAACGGGUGAGUAAUGUAUCGGAACGUGCCCAGUAGCGGGGGAUAACUACGCGAAAGCGUAGCUAAUACCGCAUACUAUUGGAGCGGCCGAGAUCGGAGUAGCUAGUUGGUGGGGUAACGGCUCACCAAGGCGACGGUCCGUAGCUGGUUUGAGAGGACGACCAGCCACACUGGGACUGAGACACGGCCCAGACUCCUACGGGAGGCAGCAGUGGGGAAUUUUGGACAAUGGGCGAAACCCUGAUCCAGCCAUCCCGCGUGUGCGAUGAAGGCCUUCGGGUUGUAAAGCACUUUUGGCAGGAAAGCGGUACCUGCAGAAUAAGCACCGGCUAACUACGUGCCAGCAGCCGCGGUAAUUC
rnacentral:rRNA from 1 species